UACCUUAUAAGGCUCUCUUCGUAGUGUCAAAUAGUACCGUCUAUGCUCUCUCUAAUGGCAUUUGACAAAAAAGACAAGUCUAGAAGAAAACUUCUACAAUUCUUUAUUGCCUUAAGAGAUGUUGGAAAGGAAGCUAAGUACCACAUCUGUGAUGCAUUAGAUCCUUCGCAUGAAAGGAAACGCAAAAAACAAUUUGUUGGUAUUGCUCUUGUCUCUAAUGAUGAAAUUUUAGAUGAAAACUUUUCCAUUUUCAAAGACUUUACAAGAUAUUUGCAUGCACUAUCUGAUAAAAGAACGCUACAGUCGAUGGUGGUAUAUCAUGAACGUAUUGCAGUAGCUUUGAAUGCUAAUGCUAAGAACUUUUACGACCAUGGAGAAUGUCGUCUGCUAGAUCAUGAAAGGAAACUUCUAUUUGAAAUCAUUGAUGAAGAGAUUGAAAGAUUUAAAACAGCAAAAAUAAAGGACAGCACAGAUACCAUAAUAACUUUUGACAAUGGUGGAAAGGGUGUUUUAGAAAAUAUGAAAAAAUCAUAUACUAAAUUAUUUCAUGGGUUAAACGAUUCUGUCAUACUUCUGUUCUCGUCUUUUAUCCCAUGUUCUAUCGAUUUCUAUAAUUGCUCCAGACUAAUUAACAAGUUUGUCAAUGUUUCUGGUCUUAACAUGGCGAUCUGUUACGAAAGUAAUUAUAAGCUUUCCGACAAAUCUUUAUCUCUAAGCCAAAUAACUAUGGAAAACUUAGUUGUUGUUGAUUGUGACGAAAUAUGGACAGAAUUCGAAACGAAAUAAAGCCUUUAAUUAACAAAGAUGCAUUUCGAUUUAAAUAUGAGUUUCUUAACGGCGAGUAUGAUAAUGACUUUGAUGAUGAUUUUGAAGAUUUCGCUGACGAUGUUUUGGACUUUAGAAAGAGUACACGUAUGAGGCAGUUUGGGAAAGCACUUUGCAGAAAGAUGAUGAAACGAUACAACAAUUUUAUUUCUUUAAAAUAGUUGAUAUGAUGAUUAACAUAAAGAAAAUGUAAUAUAGAAUACAAUUGUUUAUAAGAACUGAUGAUUUGAAAUUUCUCCUCACUUUUAGGUUUUUGUUACAGUUAGAGUAAUGCACUGUUUCAAAUAUCAUUGUAGCAUUGUUUACGUGUUAUCCAAUGUGAAAAAUAUCACCAGUCUGUACGAAGUACUUACAUGUAAAUGUUUAAAUAGAUAUAGAACACAAAGUAUGUGAACAGAUUAUAUUUAUCAUUGUGUACCUCUGCCAAUCUGUGUAUAACAAUUAUAAUAAAUAGCUUUUUAUCUAUACAAACAUGGGUACCUUACGUACUGUAAAUCGAUAAAUUCAUAUCACAGUGUUUUAGAUGUGGUUAUUUUAAAUUCUCAAAAAUAAAAUUAAAACGAAAGUAGGGAAGAGGUGUAAAUUUUUCUUUCGGCGGCAGUUAGAAACGGAUGACUGCAGAUAUGCAAGUCAGACGAAGCUGGAUUUUUCAAGCAAACGAAAUGACAGAGGAAGAAACUGUGUGCUAUCGACAAAAGUUACUUAAAUUUCUAGUUGCUCUACGUGACGUUGGUAUGGAGACCAAGUUCCAUAUAUAUGAUAUAUUACUGGAUCCAAACAGAACAAGAAAACGUAAAAGUCAAUUUAUUGCAGUUGCUAUCGUAUCUAAAGAGGAAGUGGUUGAAGAAAUCUUUUCUGUGCUAGAAAAAUUUACGGAUUAUUUACACGGACUCCAUGACCCAUCGGCUUUAGUUACAAAGGUUGUACAUUACAAACGUAUCGCAUUUGCUAUGAAUGCAGGUGAGAAAUACUUUUUUGAACACGGGGAAUGUAGAGCAUUUGAUCCAUACAGAAAGUUUUUUUUUCAAAAUAAUUGAUGAAGAAACAUUAUCACAAAAGGAGAGAAAUAAACGAAAGGAACCUUAUACAUGGAAAGGAAUACAAACAUUAGACAAAGGCGGUUUAGGCGUGUUAGAAAAAGAUGGAGAAUGCUUACAUGAAAAUCUAUAAUAAUAUCAACGAUGCUGUUAUUUUGCUUUUUUCGUUUUAUAUUCCAUGUUCUUUUGAUUUCCACGACAGUCACUGUGCCAGAGUACUACAGGAAUUCGUAAAAGCAUCUGGGCAUAAACUGGUCAUUGGAUAUGAGCAUAUUCAUCACUUAACCGACCGAAAACGAUCUCUCAAAUGGCUGGAACUGGGAAACAUUACAGUUGUCAGUAAUAAAGAACUAGAGAGAGAAAUCUCGUGUCAGCUGCAAGGUUUGUUAAGGCAAAGUGACGCCGAUAUUGGAUGGGUGGGAAGUGCUGGCGACAUAGAUGUACUUCAUGCGUUCUUUGACAAUGUUUAUGAACACAGAGUCGGAAAACAUUCCAGAUUUUUUGGAAAAUGUUAUUUAGAAGAAUCUUAAAUAAACGUGUACUGAUUUCUAUUAAAUUUUGAUAAUCAC